rfam:Zootermopsis nevadensis contig2518, whole genome shotgun sequence.
ACCAUGGUGGUCUAGCGGUCAGAACGCUGGGCUUGUAAUCCUGGGGUUCCGGGUUCGAUUCCCGGUGGUG